rnacentral:rRNA from 1 species
AGGACGAAAGCAUGGGUAGCGAAGAGGAUUAGAUACCCUCGUAGUCCAUGCCGUAAACGAUGUGUGUUAGACGUUGGAAAUUUAUUUUCAGUGUCGCAGCGAAAGCGAUAAACACACCGCCUGGGGAGUACGACCGCAAGGUUAAAACUCAAAUGAAUUGACGGGGACCCGCACAAGUAGUGGAGCAUGUGGUUUAAUUCGAAGAUACGCGCAGAACCUUACCAACACUUGACAUGUUCGUCGCGACUUUAAGAGAUUAAAGUUUUCGGUUCGGCCGGACGAAACACAGGUGCUGCAUGGCUGUCGUCAGCUCGUGUCGUGAGAUGUUGGGUUAAGUCCCGCAACGAGCGCAACCCUCACUUUUAGUUGCCAUCAUUAAGUUGGGCACUCUGAAAGAACUGCCAGUGAUAAGCUGGAGGAAGGUGGGGAUGACGUCAAGUCCUCAUGGCCCUUACGUGUUGGGCUACACACGUGCUACAAUGGUAUCUACAACAGGAAGCAAGACUGCGAAGUUAAGCAAAUCCUUAAAAGAUACCUCAGUUCGGAUUGCACUCUGCAACUCGAGUGCAUGAAGCUGGAAUUACUAGUAAUCGUGGAUCAGCGUGCCACGGUGAAUGCGUUCCCGGGUCUUGUACACACCGCCCGUCACACCAUGGGAGUUGGUUCUACCUUAAGGCAAGGUUUAAAACCCUUGACCACGGUAUAGUCAGCGACUGGGGUGAAGUCGUAACAAGGUAGCCGUAGGGGAACCUGCGGCUG